rnacentral:rRNA from 1 species
AAACUUUUUACAACCGGUAGCGCUGGAUCCCUUGGCACGUCAUUCGAUGAAGACCGUUGCAAAUUGGGAUAAAGUGAUGUGAUGCGCAAGUCCACCACUUAUACGUGAAUCAUCGAGUUGUUGAACGCAUUGCCCCGCGCCCUAAUCCGGCUGCGGUAU